rnacentral:rRNA from 1 species
CCUACGGGAGGCAGCAGUGAGGAAUAUUGGUCAAUGGACGCAAGUCUGAACCAGCCAUGCCGCGUGCAGGAAGACGGCUCUAUGAGUUGUAAACUGCUUUUGUACGAGGGUAAACGCAGAUACGCGUAUCUGUCUGAAAGUAUCGUACGAAUAAGGAUCGGCUAACUCCGUGCCAGCAGCCGCGGGUAUACGGAGGAUUCAAGCGUUAUCCGGAUUUAUUGGGUUUAAAGGGUGCGUAGGCGGUCGGAUAAGUUAGAGGUGAAAUCCCGAGGCUCAACUUCGGAAUUGCCUCUGAUACUGUGCGGCUAGAGAGUAGUUGCGGUAGGCGGAAUGUAUGGUGUAGCGGUGAAAUGCUUAGAGAUCAUACAGAACACCGAUUGCGAAGGCAGCUUACCAAGCUACUUCUGACGUUGAGGCACGAAAGCGUGGGGAGCAAACAGGAUUAGAUACCCGAGUAGUC